rnacentral:rRNA from 1 species
CACGGGGGGAGUAAGCGUUGUUCGGAAUCACUGGGCGUAAAGGGCGUGUAGGCGGUCAGGUAAGUGGGAUGUGAAAUGCCCCGGCUCACCCGGGGACCGGCAUCCCAUACUGCUUGGCUUGAGUACGGGAGAGGAUGUGGGAAUUCCUGGUGUAGCGGUGAAAUGCGUAGAUAUCAAGAGGAACACCAGUGGCGAAGGCGAGUCCCUGGACAACACCUGACACUGAGGCACGAAAGCUAGGGGAGCAAACAGG